GGGUAUGAUACUAUUAAGAGAAUGGUGUCAAACAGAAGGACCAUAGACAACUUGCAAACUUUUUAAUUUGAAACAUUUAAGGCUUCAAAAUGUGGUUGAGUAGACAUUUGCUAUUCUAAAAAAAUAUUUCUCAUAUUAACAAGAUCAUGUUAGUAUAACAUAAAAAAAAGGUAAGAUUGUACUAACAUGUUGUUGAAAAAACGAGUUUGAAAAAUGCAACAGAAAAUAAGUUUAAGGGAAAAGUCAAAGUUUUAAUUAUUUUUCC
rnacentral:lncRNA from 1 species